GAUGAACGCUGGCGGCGUGCCUAAUACAUGCAAGUCGAGCGAACAGACGAGGAGCUUGCUCCUCUGACGUUAGCGGCGGACGGGUGAGUAACACGUGGAUAACCUACCUAUAAGACUGGGAUAACUUCGGGAAACCGGAGCUAAUACCGGAUAAUAUAUUGAACCGCAUGGUUCAAUAGUGAAAGACGGUUUUGCUGUCACUUAUAGAUGGAUCCGCGCCGCAUUAGCUAGUUGGUAAGGUAACGGCUUACCAAGGCAACGAUGCGUAGCCGACCUGAGAGGGUGAUCGGCCACACUGGAACUGAGACACGGUCCAGACUCCUACGGGAGGCAGCAGUAGGGAAUCUUCCGCAAUGGGCGAAAGCCUGACGGAACAACGCCGCGGGAGUGAUGAAGGUCUUCGGAUCGGAAAACUCUGUUAUUAGGGAAGAACAAAUGUGUAAGUAACUAUGCACGUCUUGACGGUACCUAAUCAGAAAGCCACGGCUAACUACGUG
rnacentral:rRNA from 1 species